UUGUGCACACUGCUGCACCACACAGAACUCUGAGGAACAACAGUCGUCGAGAUCAGAAACCUCGUUGAUUUAAAGACUUCAGCCUCUCAAACCCUGAUAAGAUGAAGACAGUCAGUGUCGCGGUUGCAAUGACCAUCUUGCUCACAUUUACCUGGAUGCAGGAGAGCUCUGCAGCCUCAAUCAUUGAAGUUCCAGAAUCCAAAGAGAAGCCGCCGGAGUUUGACCACCCUAAUGAAGCACAUGAAGAGCCAUCAGUGGACGUAUGGAAAAUGGGUUACAAUCUUGAUGCUGUAUAACAGAGAGAAUUGUGGCACUUUUGCUGGAGCAGCUGCACUACAGCUCCUGGAAAGACUGUCCACUAUCCUCUGGCCUUUCCCAGACUUCCUGUGUAUGGUCAAAUUCUCCAGGCAGUGUUCCUGCUAAAGCAUGCACAUUACCCACUAUGGUCAGUUUAAAGGCACAAGGUUCUGCACUGCAAGGAAAGAAUCCUUUUUUUCAGGAAGGGUCUAUACUGGUAGUUGUGUGCUGUGAGGAAGGAUGAAAUGAGAAGCUAGCAAAAGCUGCAAGUAGAUGCCUGCUGGGCUACAGCAGCUGCUGGGGUCAUCAUAGGUUGCAUUAACAUGCACUAGCAUUUACCUACCAGAACCUGCCAGAGAUGUUUAGGCUGAUUUUCUGCUACUAUCAGCGUUAGUCCUGCCCAGGUUGACUGAAACCAUUCCCCAUUAACAUGAAAAUUAGUACCUGAGUGGGUGAGAUCUUAUUUCACAGUCAGAAAUUAAGCAUGCUGGAUACCAUUUAACUGUUCUGGAUAAAUGAGGGUGUGUGCUCAGUUGUAUCCCACAAUCCCUUACUGUAACAGGAAGAUCUGCAAAUCCCAGAUGACAAAUUUGAAACUAGCAUAAUUAAACAGAAUCCCUUCUGUUAUCUUUGUAGUGGCAUUUCAUAUUUUUGAUCUGAACAUAUAUUGUUGCAUUUUAGGGAUUUGCAUGUUCAAGGUAAAGAUAUUACACAAUAUUCAAUAGCUUUCAGACCUGGAGGGCACAUUUACACCCAUGACCCACCUGUUUUCAGCAGCUAAAGCAGUCAGGAGACAUCUCCUCAAAAUAGUCUCCUAUAUGUAGUUCUGAUACUUUUUAUCGAAGAUCACAAAUGGAUCUUGUGAUGUGAUGAUUGCGCCAUGUCCACUUUAAUAUAGAUGUGUUUAUAAUGUUAACCCAAGUGAUUACCAUAUGUCCAGAAUGAAUCCAUU